rnacentral:rRNA from 1 species
UACGGGGGGGGCAAGCGUUGUUCGGAAUUACUGGGCGUAAAGGGCUCGUAGGCGGCCAACUAAGUCAGACGUGAAAUCCCUCGGCUUAACCGGGGAACUGCGUCUGAUACUGGAUGGCUUGAAUCCGGGAGAGGGAUGUGGAAUUCCAGGUGUAGCGGUGAAAUGCGUAGAUAUCUGGAGGAAUACCGGUGGCGAAGGCGGCAUCCUGGACCGGCAUUGACGCUGAUGAGCGAAAGCCAGGGGAGCAAACGGG